GAUGAACGCUGGCGGCGUGCUUAACACAUGCAAGUCGAACGGAAAGGCCCAAGCUUGCUUGGGUACUCGAGUGGCGAACGGGUGAGUAACACGUGGGUGAUCUGCCCUGCACUUCGGGAUAAGCCUGGGAAACUGGGUCUAAUACCGGAUAGGACCACUUCUUGGAUGUUGUGGUGGAAAGUUUUUUCGGUGUGGGAUGAGCUCGCGGCCUAUCAGCUUGUUGGUGGGGUAAUGGCCUACCAAGGCGUCGACGGGUAGCCGGCCUGAGAGGGUGUACGGCCACAGUGGGACUGAGAUACGGCCCAGACUCCUACGGGAGGCAGCAGUGGGGAAUAUUGCACAAUGGGCGCAAGCCUGAUGCAGCGACGCCGCGUGGGGGAUGACGGCCUUCGGGUUGUAAACGCCUUUCGCUAGGGACGAAGCGUUUUGUGACGGUACCUGGAGAAGAAGCACCGGCUAACUACGUG
rnacentral:rRNA from 1 species